CAAAAGAUACAUUAGAAAAAACAAAAGAUACAUGAGAAAAUCAAACUCAGCUGCUUGAAGGUGAUAUCUUUUUUUUUUUUUUUUUUUUUUUUCCCUUUUCCUUUUCCCU
rnacentral:ribozyme from 1 species